CUCAGGCAUUUCUUUUUCCUUAAGAGUCAUUUUUAGUGUCUAAAUUCAUGUUGGACCUGCAAUCUGAAUCCAUAUAUCUUGCAAUCUCUGCCAAAGACUGCCAUGGGAAGAUUUGUUUGUGCAAAUCUUGUCCAUAUAUCUGAAGAUAUCCAUACAUUAAAGAUUAUCACUGCAUCUGCAAAGAAUUAUGCAUACAGGACAAGGAAAAAAGGAUUUAUAGAAUCAUCGAGUUAAAAAUGCCAAAAGAUUUUUCCUCCAAAAGAAUGAAUAUUCCCUAUAAAGAAGGAGGAAUGAGAGCCUGGCUCUAUGACAUUAAUUUAUAAUAAUUCCGAAUCCCUAUCUGACAAAGAAUGCUCAGCAGAGCAUUUGCUUUAAAUGACAGCUUGAAAGGGUUUCCCUCUGGAUCAUGUAAACAGGAAGAUCCCCAGCCUGUCUUCUUCCUGUCUCAAAAAUUGUGAACUGAUCAAGGAAAAAUCAUGGAAGUGAAACAAACCUUUCCCCAAAUGUUUCAAGCCUAUUUUCUCCAUGCAAUGCCUGUCAAGUUCUUAGUAAAGCUGAAGGGAUUUAUUUGAAUUUGAAUCUGAGCAAGUACUGAACACCUCAUUUCAUCUUAAUUGCAUGGAUUGAAUUCUAUAGCUAAAAUGGAACUCAUAGUUGUUAAGUAAACUGAAAUGCUCCUGUAAUUGAUUGCAAUGAACCUGCAUGGUUUGUGUUUUAUUCAAAAAGAACUGGUGGUAUGUCUUGUUUUCUAGUGGAAGGUUCCCUGCCCAUGGCAAAGUGAUUGGAACCAGAUGGUCUUUGAGGUCCUUUUCAACACAAACCAGUCUGUGAAUCUAUGAGGAAAAAAAUAUCCAAAUAUAAUUGAUAUAACCAAACAAGAGCUAAAUGCCACCAAGAUUAAAAUAUUAUAACAACCAUGGACUGGAGCAGCCUGGGGCAUGUUUGUUGUAAAACAAAUAUCCACAUACAUAUGCACAACAUUUACUUUCAUAGAAGGUGUCCAUUUAGAGAUUUAUAACAUGCAGAAAACCUCCCAUUUCCAAUGGAAAAUUCAAAAUCCAUGAGAGCCUGGUAGGUGAGUCCAAUCCCUGUGCACACUCCCUGACCAUCUCUCUUGCUGUUGCACAGUUGGAUUUGCAGCUCCCAGCAGCUACAGAUCCCACUGGGAAUGUGCAGACCCCAAUCCCCAGGUCCCAUUCAGUGUUUCAAAUAUAGCAGCUUAUAACUGUGAUCAUCUGCAUUUUAUAUUGGGAACACACUCACCAAGGACAUGACCUGAUUUUUGUUAGGAGUAAAGGGGGACAUCAAAACUUCUUCCUCUGCUGCUGCUCCUUCUGCCUCUGUAACUUCACUGAGGUCACGAGAAGUUGGACAGGAUCAUAGAGCUGAGCUACCUAAAUGGCAUGGUGCUAAAAAUAUAUUUAUUCAGAAUGGCUAAUUAAGGUGAAUGACUACCAGUCUUCAUUAGCACUGAAGUGGUGUUAAUUUGAUUAGACUUCUGGCCUAGAUAGACUUGCAAGGCUUUAUGUUUCUAAUGCAAUUUCUCUAACGAGAAAGCAUUUUAGAUGAAAUGUUACCCAUCAGCGUCUUUCUUUGUAUAAAUAUUAAGUAGACAUUUGCCUUUUAGUGCUCUUAAUUUUUAGGGAUCAGGGAAACAGUGAAGAUGUGACAUCUGCAUUGCCUUGGGAUAUGGGGAGAAUGUGAGAAAAUAAACUUGCAAUUCUUGCUCCA
ensembl:lncRNA